rnacentral:rRNA from 1 species
AUUGAACGCUGGCGGCAGGCCUAACACAUGCAAGUCGAACGGUAACAGGAAGCAGCUUGCUGCUUUGCUGACGAGUGGCGGACGGGUGAGUAAUGUCUGGGAAACUGCCCGAUGGAGGGGGAUAACUACUGGAAACGGUAGCUAAUACCGCAUAACGUCGCAAGACCAAAGAGGGGGACCUUAGGGCCUCUUGCCAUCGGAUGUGCCCAGAUGGGAUUAGCUAGUAGGUGGGGUAACGGCUCACCUAGGCGACGAUCCCUAGCUGGUCUGAGAGGAUGACCAGCCACACUGGAACUGAGACACUGUCCAGACUCCUACGGGAGGCAGCAGUGGGGAAUAUUGCACAAUGGGCGCAAGCCUGAUGCAGCCAUGCCGCGUGUAUGAAGAAGGCCUUCGGGUUGUAAAGUACUUUCAGCGGGGAGGAAGGGAGUAAAGUUAAUACCUUUGCUCAUUGACGUUACCCGCAGAAGAAGCACCGGCUAACUCCGUG